rnacentral:rRNA from 1 species
CUUCGGAUUGAAGCAAUUGUGACUGAGCGGCGGACGGGUGAGUAACGCGUGGGUAACCUGCCUCAUACAGGGGGAUAACAGUUGGAAACGGCUGCUAAUACCGCAUAAGCGCACAGUACCGCAUGGUACCGUGUGAAAAACUCCGGUGGUAUGAGAUGGACCCGCGUCUGAUUAGCUAGUUGGUGGGGUAACGGCCUACCAAGGCGACGAUCAGUAGCCGACCUGAGAGGGUGACCGGCCACAUUGGGACUGAGACACGGCCCAAACUCCUACGGGAGGCAGCAGUGGGGAAUAUUGCACAAUGGGGGAAACCCUGAUGCAGCGACGCCGCGUGAGCGAUGAAGUAUUUCGGUAUGUAAAGCUCUAUCAGCAGGGAAGAAAAUGACGGUACCUGACUAAGAAGCCCCGGCUAACUACGUGCCAGCAGCCGCGGUAAUACGUAGGGGGCAAGCGUUAUCCGGAUUUACUGGGUGUAAAGGGAGCGUAGACGGCAUGGCAAGCCAGAUGUGAAAGCCCGGGGCUCAACCCCGGGACUGCAUUUGGAACUGUCAGGCUAGAGUGUCGGAGAGGAAAGCGGAAUUCCUAGUGUAGCGGUGAAAUGCGUAGAUAUUAGGAGAACACCAGUGGCGAAGGCGGCUUUC